rnacentral:tRNA from 1 species
UCCCUGGUGGCUCAGAUGGUAAAGAAUCUGCCUACAAUGCAGAAGACCUGGGUUCGAUCCCUGGGUUGGGAA